CCUACGGGAGGCAGCAGUGGUGAAUAUUGCGCAAUGGGGGAAACCCUGACGCAGCAACGCCGCGUGCGGGAUGACGGCCUUCGGGUUGUAAACCGCUUUCAGCAGGGAAGAACAUCGACGGUACCUGCAGAAGAAGCCCCGGCUAACUACGUGCCAGCAGCCGCGGUAAUACGUAGGGGGAGAGCGUUAUCCGGAUUCAUUGGGCGUAAAGCGCGCGUAGGCGGGUGCCUAAGCGGGACCUCUAACCUCGGGGCUCAACCCCGAGCCGGGUCCCGAACUGGGCGCCUCGAGUGCGGUAGGGGAGG
rnacentral:rRNA from 1 species